UACGGAGGAUGCGAGCGUUAUCCGGAUUUAUUGGGUUUAAAGGGUGCGCAGGCGGCCUGUUAAGUCAGCGGUAAAAGCCCGGGGCUCAACCCCGGGGCUGCAUUGGAAACUGGCAGGCUGGAGUGCCGGAGAGGCAGGCGGAAUUCCUAGUGUAGCGGUGAAAUGCGUAGAUAUUAGGAGGAACACCAGUGGCGAAGGCGGCCUGCUGGACGGUGACUGACGCUGAGGCACGAAAGCGUGGGGAUCGAACAGG
rnacentral:rRNA from 1 species